UCCUCCACAAUAAAUUCUUGAAUGUCUCUGGUCUUGUCUGAUCCCAGAAGCUAAGCAGGGUAGGGCCUGGUUAGUACAUUAAUGGGAGAAAAUUCUUAUAAAGGAAGCAGUCAGAGGAA
rnacentral:rRNA from 1 species